GUUUGAUCCUGGCUCAGAACGAACGCUGGCGGCAUGCCUAACACAUGCAAGUCGAACGAGACCUUCGGGUCUAGUGGCGCACGGGUGCGUAACGCGUGGGAAUCUGCCCUUGGGUUCGGGAUAACAGUUGGAAACGACUGCUAAUACCGGAUGAUGACUUCGGUCCAAAGAUUUAUCGCCCAGGGAUGAGCCCGCGUCGGAUUAGCUAGUUGGUGAGGUAAAGGCUCACCAAGGCGACGAUCCGUAGCUGGUCUGAGAGGAUGAUCAGCCACACUGGGACUGAGACACGGCCCAGACUCCUACGGGAGGCAGCAGUGGGGAAUAUUGGACAAUGGGCGAAAGCCUGAUCCAGCAAUGCCGCGUGAGUGAUGAAGGCCUUAGGGUUGUAAAGCUCUUUUACCCGGGAUGAUAAUGACAGUACCGGGAGAAUAAGCCCCGGCUAACUCCGUGCCAGCAGCCGCGGUAAUACGGAGGGGGCUAGCGUUGUUCGGAAUUACUGGGCGUAAAGCGCACGUAGGCGGCUUUACAAGUCAGAGGUGAAAGCCCGGGGCUCAACCCCGGAAUUGCCUUUGAGACUGUAUCGCUAGAACGUCGGAGAGGUAAGUGGAAUUCCGAGUGUAGAGGUGAAAUUCGUAGAUAUUCGGAAGAACACCAGUGGCGAAGGCGACUUACUGGACGACUGUUGACGCUGA
rnacentral:rRNA from 1 species